rnacentral:misc_RNA from 1 species
CAUUACCGAGUGAGGGCCCUCUGGGUCCAACCUCCCACCCGUGUUUAUCGUACCUUGUUGCUUCGGCGGGUCCGCCUCACGGCCGCCGGGGGGCUUCUGCCCCCUGGCCCGCGCCCGCCGAAGACACCAUUGAACGCUGUCUGAAGAUUGCAGUCUGAGCAAUUAGCUAAAUAAGUUAAAACUUUCAACAACGGAUCUCUUGGUUCCGGCAUCGAUGAAGAACGCAGCGAAAUGCGAUACGUAAUGUGAAUUGCAGAAUUCAGUGAAUCAUCGAGUCUUUGAACGCACAUUGCGCCCCCUGGUAUUCCGGGGGGCAUGCCUGUCCGAGCGUCAUUGCUGCCCUCAAGCACGGCUUGUGUGUUGGGCCUCCGUCCUCCUCCCGGGGGACGGGCCCGAAAGGCAGCGGCGGCACCGCGUCCGGUCCUCGAGCGUAUGGGGCUUCGUCACCCGCUCUUGUAGGCCCGGCCGGCGCUUGCCGACACACCAAUCUUUUUUCCAGGUUGACCUCGGAUCAGGUAGGGAUACCCGCUGAACUUAAGCAUAUCAAUAAGCGGAGGAAAGGGCGAAUUCGUUUAAACCUGCAGGACUAGUCCCUUUAGUGAGGGUUAAUUCUGAGCUU